UGGUGAGGUAACGGCCCACCAAGCCGACGAUCGGUAGCCGACCUGAGAGGGUGAUCGGCCACAUUGGGACUGAGACACGGCCCAAACUCCUACGGGAGGCAGCAGUGGGGAAUAUUGGGCAAUGGGGGGAACCCUGACCCAGCAACGCCGCGUGGAGGAAGAAGGUUUUCGGAUCGUAAACUCCUGUCCUUGGAGACGAGUAGAAGACGGUAUCCAAGGAGGAAGCCCCGGCUAACUACGUGCCAGCAGCCGCGGUAAUACGUAGGGGGCAAGCGUUGUCCGGAAUAAUUGGGCGUAAAGGGCGCGUAGGCGGCUCGGUAAGUCUGGAGUGAAAGUCCUGCUUUUAAGGUGGGAAUUGCUUUGGAUACUGUCGGGCUUGAGUGCAGGAGAGGUUAGUGGAAUUCCCAGUGUAGCGGUGAAAUGCGUAGAGAUUGGGAGGAACACCAGUGGCGAAGGCGACUAACUGG
rnacentral:rRNA from 1 species